AUAAAGAAGGCAUUAUAUGUCAUUUCUAGUCCAUAUUUUUAAAAAGUUGUUCCAAUAGGCUUUUUAUACAAUAUUUUAUGUUGCUUUUUCUCCAACUUCGCAAAUUUAAGUUAAGGUCUUGGUCAUCAGUGCAGCCCAUAGCACAUCCUGGGUUAAAAUAAAGCCUAAAGGGAGACCUUGUAUAAUAUUUCCAUUUCAUUUCAUUCUGCCAUCUACAAUGUGUUAUGAUGAAAUACUCUCAUGUAGACCUGAAUCAAAAGGUUUUGUUUUUUGGAGGCUACAGUGCAAUUUAGGGCAUCUGUUAACUUGUCCUUAACUAAUUCAAACAGAUGGAUUAGUUACUUCAGUAAUAAGUGUUCUAAAACAUA